AAGUGAGAUAUACACAACCAAAACAUAAAUAAGUCUAGGUGUAGUCCAACAGGAUGAUUACUAAUUAACAACGCCUAAAGGUGAUCCUGCAUUUGUGGUGAAUUGUCAGAACCUCCGCUAAGCCCUCGUAAUCCACCAACGAACUCUUACCUAGAACCUGGAGGGGCGAAAACCAAACGCCCACUCACUGAUAAGUCGAAGGGUCGUAGCCCCCGAGCCUCAAUUGAUGGCGCUCGUCCUCUGGAUGGGUCUUACCUAUAUACGAAAUAACUAAAUAAACGUUAUUUUAAGUACACAGACAAAACUAGUUAAUAACUUCUCAUACAAUGCUCA
rnacentral:lncRNA from 1 species